GACAGAGGGGGCAAGCGUUGCUCGGAAUUACUGGGCGUAAAGGGCGCGUAGGCGGGAUGGCAAGUCGGUCGUGAAAUCCCUCGGCUCAACCGAGGAACGUCGAUCGAUACUGCUGUUCUUGAGGAUUGCAGAGGAGACUGGAAUUCCCGGUGUAGCGGUGAAAUGUGUAGAGAUCGGGAGGAACACCGGUGGCGAAGGCGGGUCUCUGGGACGGUACUGACGCUGAGACGCGAAAGCGUGGGGAGCGAACAGG
rnacentral:rRNA from 1 species